rnacentral:misc_RNA from 1 species
GUGAAUCAUCAAAUUUUUGAACGCAAAUUGCACUUUCUGGUAUUCCGGAAAGUGUGCCCGGUUGAGGGUCCAAUAAAUAAAAAUCGGUGUUGUUGCUCCUUGUCGUGGUGACGCGUCGGAUUUGAGUUGUCUUACCUUCGGUUAAGUGACUUAAAAUUUUGCAUGAUUUUCGAACGUAUGUAAAUUACUUACGUACGUUUAAGAUAUCGAAUACUUUAUUAAAUUCGGUCAUCCUCAUGAUCCACACCUGUAAUUUUUCAUUUAAUAACCUCAAAUCAGGUAAGAA